rnacentral:rRNA from 1 species
CUGAAGAGUUAAAGGGCCGCGGUAUAUUGACCGUGCAAAGGUAGCAUAAUCAUUAGUCUUCUAAUUAAAGGCUGGUAUGAAUGGCUGGACGAGGUAUUAGCUGUCUCUUUAGGAAUAAUCAGAAUUUAACUUUUUAGUCAAAAGGCUAAAAUAAAAUUGGAGGACGAGAAGACCCUAUAGAUCUUUAUAUGUAGUUUGUCUAAUUUUUUUAGAAAGGUUCAGAUUUGGUGAAUAAAAUAUUUUGUUGGGGUGACAGGAAGAUAAGGGAAACUAUUUUUAAGAUUAAACCAUUGAUUUAUGAAUUUGUGAUCUGUAAUAACGAUUAAAAGAUUAAGUUACCUUAGGGAUAACAGCGUAAUCUUUUUUGAGAGUUCUAAUCGACAAAAAGGGUUGCGACCUCGAUGUUGGACUAAGGGUUAUUCUUGGGUGUAGAAGUUCAAGGUUUAGGUCUGUUCGACCUUUGAAUCCUUACGUGAGG